CACGGUUUUACCACACACCCUCCAGCCAAUCAGAAGCCAGUAUGCACCCAGACCAUGGCAUAAAUAUUCUCAUUUCAUUCUGAAUUU